rnacentral:tRNA from 1 species
GGAGACGUAGCUCAGCUGGAGCCCUGACAAGCCUAGAGAGCACUGGAUUCGUAAUCCGGAGGUCGGUGGUUCGAGUCCACCCGUCUCCGCCA